UGCGUAGGCGGAUUAAUAAGUCAGUGGUGAAAUCUCUCGGCUCAACCGGGAAACUGCCAUUGAUACUGUUAAUCUUGAGUUCGGUUGAGGUAGGCGGAAUGUGUAAUGUAGCGGUGAAAUGCUUAGAUAUUACACAGAACACCAAUUGCGUAGGCAGCUUACUAGACCGACACUGACGCUGAGGCACGAAAGCGCGGGUAGCGAACAGGAUUAGAUACCCUGGUAGUCC
rnacentral:rRNA from 1 species